rnacentral:rRNA from 1 species
CGAGCGAACAGACGAGGAGCUUGCUCCUCUGACGUUAGCGGCGGACGGGUGAGUAACACGUGGAUAACCUACCUAUAAGACUGGGAUAACUUCGGGAAACCGGAGCUAAUACCGGAUAACAUGUUGAACCGCAUGGUUCAACAGUGAAAGACGGUCUUGCUGUCGCUUAUAGAUGGAUCCGCGCCGCAUUAGCUAGUUGGUAAGGUAACGGCUUACCAAGGCAACGAUGCGUAGCCGACCUGAGAGGGUGAUCGGCCACACUGGAACUGAGACACGGUCCAGACUCCUACGGGAGGCAGCAGUAGGGAAUCUUCCGCAAUGGGCGAAAGCCUGACGGAGCAACGCCGCGUGAGUGAAGAAGGUCUUCGGAUCGUAAAACUCUGUUAUUAGGGAAGAACAAAUGUGUAAGUAACUAUGCACGUCUUGACGGUACCUAAUCAGAAAGCCACGGCUAACUACGUGCCAGCAGCCGCGGUAAUACGUAGGUGGCAAGCGUUAUCCGGAAUUAUUGGGCGUAAAGCGCGCGUAGGCGGUUUUUUAAGUCUGAUGUGAAUGCCCACGGCUCAACCGUGGAGGGUCAUUGGAAACUGGAAAACUUGAGUGCAGAAGAGGAAAGUGGAAUUCCAUGUGUAGCGGUGAAAUGCGCAGAGAUAUGGAGGAACACCAGUGGCGAAGGCGACUUUCUGGUCUGUAACUGACGCUGAUGUGCGAAAGCGUGGGGAUCAAACAGGAUUAGAUACCCUGGUAGUCCACGCCGUAAACGAUGAGUGCUAAGUGUUAGGGGGUUUCCGCCCCUUAGUGCUGCAGCUAACGCAUUAAGCACUCCGCCUGGGGAGUACGACCGCAAGGUUGAAACUCAAAGGAAUUGACGGGGACCCGCACAAGCGGUGGAGCAUGUGGUUUAAUUCGAAGCAACGCGAAGAACCUUACCAAAUCUUGACAUCCUCUGACCCCUCUAGAGAUAGAGUUUUCCCCUUCGGGGGACAGAGUGACAGGUGGUGCAUGGUUGUCGUCAGCUCGUGUCGUGAGAUGUUGGGUUAAGUCCCGCAACGAGCGCAACCCUUAAGCUUAGUUGCCAUCAUUAAGUUGGGCACUCUAAGUUGACUGCCGGUGACAAACCGGAGGAAGGUGGGGAUGACGUCAAAUCAUCAUGCCCCUUAUGAUUUGGGCUACACACGUGCUACAAUGGACAAUACAAAGGGUAGCGAAACCGCGAGGUCAAGCAAAUCCCAUAAAGUUGUUCUCAGUUCGGAUUGUAGUCUGCAACUCGACUACAUGAAGCUGGAAUCGCUAGUAAUCGUAGAUCAGCAUGCUACGGUGAAUACGUUCCCGGGUCU